rnacentral:misc_RNA from 1 species
CAGGCAUUGUUUUUUCGUAUCGUAGGCAGGGCUCGAAGUUCCUUAGGAGAGAGAGACUCAGAAAUGGCAACACAAGCACUUGUAUCUUCUCUUACCUCUUCAGUGGAGACUGCCAGACAAAUACUACGAGCAAAACCAACCCAGUCUUCUUUUGGGUCCUCAAGGAAGAGCUCCUUUGUUGUUAGGGCAUCUUCUACUCCUCCUGUUAAGCAAGGAGCAGAUAGACAACUAUGGUUUGCUUCCAGGCAAAGUCUUUCUUACUUGGAUGGCAGUCUUCCAGGUGACUAUGGAUUUGAUCCGCUUGGUCUUUCAGACCCUGAAGGUACAGGAGGAUUCAUUGAGCCAAAAUGGUUAGCCUACGGUGAGGUCAUCAAUGGAAGAUAUGCCAUGUUGGGGGCAGUAGGUGCCAUUGCACCAGAAAUUCUUGGCAAGGCUGGUCUCAUCCCCCAAGAAACAGCCCUCCCUUGGUUCAAAACUGGUGUGAUCCCACCUGCCGGUACAUACGACUACUGGGCAGACCCAUACACACUGUUUGUGCUGGAAAUGGCACUCAUGGGAUUUGCAGAGCACAGGAGAUUCCAAGAUUGGGCAAACCCAGGCUCCAUGGGCAAGCAGUAUUUCUUGGGGUUGGAGAAGUAUUUGGGAGGGUCUGGAGACCCAAUCUACCCGGGAGGACCCCUGUUCAACCCUCUUGGGUUAGGUAAAGAUGAGAAAUCAAUGAAAGAUUUGAAGCUCAAGGAGGUGAAGAAUGGGAGGUUGGCUAUGCUGGCAAUUGUGGGUUACUUCAUACAAGCUCUUGUGACUGGAGUUGGACCAUACCAAAACCUCCUGGAUCACUUGGCUGAUCCUGUCAACAACAAUAUCUUGACAAGCCUCAAGUUCCAUUAGAGCCAAUUCUUGUCUAUUUGUGGAUUGGACCUGCCCUAGCUGCUUCUUCCCUUUGGCCUUUCUUUUCUCCUACUCAUUGUAACAAUCGUGUGAAAAAGCCCUACUGUAAUUUUCUGUGAUAAGGGACAUGUUAAGAUCAAGAAAGACCUCUUAAUGUUAUUGUCUAGUUUUUUUUAGAGAUAAUCAGGCAUCUUUAUGACCCUAACAAAUUGCAAAGGGGUAAUAUAAUGGCAAAAACAACAACAAUGAAGCUGAUAUAAAUGGGGAAAAAACUUUAAGAGAAAAUGGCACAUGAUGGUCAUCCACAAUUUGCACUUUCAAUUCUUAGUCAUACAGAACUCAGUGCACCAACUCCAAACAUGUUACUGGAGAUGAUUAUCAAUUAUUAAUUUGCUUCUGAAACGUUUGAAAUUGUCGACCCCAAAAAUCAACACUGGCUCUACCCAAUCAAAAUGUUUCUAGAAUAGAGAAUACAAGCAUGGAGGCGAGUGUUAUUGCGCCACUUCCUUUCUUCCACCAUAGUAUGAUAUAAUUGCAAUACCAUAUCCUACUGCUCUUCUCAUCCAUCUGAUUCAGGAAAUUAUCAUGCCUACUAGAAUAGAAAAAGAAUUUCAUAGUCCCAGAAGGAUAUCAAAGCUCAGACUCUAAUAUUUGGGCAUUCUGGUAGUAAGUAACUACAAUUUUUGAUUGCAGGAAGACUAUCAUCAAAUGAUGAAAACCCAAAAUAUGCCCAUCAACCUCAAACUCAAAGUGAUAUUGUCAAGACCAAUGUCUACCCAAAUGAGCUGAAACGGUUUAAGGAACACAAUCCCCUCAAAUUAAGCAGACUGAGCGACAGGUUCAUCUGCACCCGAUGCCUCUAGCCUGCAAACCACAUUAGUCAGUAAUAAUAUAAAAGGAGCCCAUCUCAGGAAAAGUAAGGUAUAGCAGGGAAAUAUUUCAAAACAGCAAUCAAACAGAAAGGAAAAAUACACAAAGCACUAAUGCAUAAUACACAUUGAUAAUAGCAGUAUUACAGACAUCACAUCCUAUAUCAUGUUACAGCGUCAUAAAAAUACAUAGAAUUCCAUCAGGCUAGCUGAAAUGUCUUCAAAGAUUUACAGCAGAAUGGGAAUUAAGUCCCACCAUCAGAGUUUUGUUUAAGGAACACAUCUAUCCAUUCGUGUGAAAUAGCUCAGAUAACAUGCAGUAGCAAAGGAAGAAUAAGGCAUAAAUGAUGGAAACAUUUGCUACCUAGUCUCUACCCUCAUCUUUCUUCAUGAGUACAAGAAGUGCAGUAUUCCCUACCUUUGAAUUCCUUCUCCAACUUCCAUUCUAAAGAAGUUCCCUAUCUUCACAGGUGAGCCCACUUCCUUGGACAGAUUGUUUAACAGUGUCUUUACGUUUACAGUAUCAUUGAUUAUGAACUUUUGCUCCAUUAGAACAACUUCCUCAUAGUAUUUACGCAAACGACCUUCUACCAUUUUCUCUAUUGCCAUCUGAGACUUCCCUGUGCUUUCCGCCUGAGACUUAAGAAUUUCACGUUCACUUUCCAAUGCACUAGAGGAGACAAGUUCUUUGGUCAAGAACAACGGCUUUGCUGCCACCACAUGCAUUGCCAGUUCCGAACCAACGCGCUGGAGAGCUUCCAACUGGGAAUUCCCAUCCUCUAUUUCAAGAGAUAAAAGUCCAGCAAUACGACCCAAACCCGGUUGAGGACUUGUAUGGAGAUAGAUGGACAGAACAGCAGUUGAAGAUGUAGACAUAACAAAGCUCCUUCUGAGUCUCACAUUCUCACCCAUCAUUGCAGCUAUUUCUGUAAUUGCAUUUUGAACAGUUGUUUCUCCACUUAUUUUGGGAUGUUCAAGAUUUAACUUCAAGUCCUCCAAACACUCGGGUCCAACAGCAUGGACGCCAGAAACCUGAUGAGAAACAUUCUCAAUCAACAAGGCUUGCUUAGCUAAAGAUAAAGCCAAGUACUGAAAGAUUUCAUUUCUAGCAACAAAGUCAGUCUCGCAAUUAAGCUCAACAAUUGCAGCCCUCCCCUCAUCCUGUGCCAAUGCAAGUAACCCCUCGGCAGCAGUUCGGCCCGACUUCUUCGAGGCCAAAACCUUCCCUCUCUUCCUCAAAUCCUUCUGCGCCUCCUCAAUGUCCCAAUUGCAAUCAAUGAGAGCAGCCUUGACAUCCUUGAUGGGAGCGCUAGUCCGCUCUCUCAACUGCUUAAUGAGAUUCAUCUGCUCUUGUGCCGCAGGAGCUUGAACGCUGAAUCGCCGGAAAAACAUUCCAAAAGCAGAUUCCGAUCUGGUUUUGAUCUCUGCAAGUUGAGAUAUGGGAGUGGACACUGCUUUGCGCGUCCAGGUAGAAUAAUUUUGCCCAGAGAAGCCAAUCCUGGUACUUAGCAUUAUUUGAAGUGGACGCUUUGCACUUCUAGACAAAGCCAUUUCUAUAUGAAUGUGUAUAAAAGCUAGUUGCUAGGGUUUAAGGGUUUUAGAAGAAAGUGGAGCUAGCAGCAAACCAUGCAUAUGAGAUAGAAACUACAAAACCUUCGAAGAAGUGACCUUUAAAAUAAACUUGUAUUGGGUUUGAAGGAGAGUAUGAGGAAGAGGAUGAGUGGUGAUGGUGGGCUUGGGUUAAUGUCGUUGCUGGCGUGGCGGGAGGGUGGCGGCGGCAGCUAUGGUGAGAGGAUGGCUUGGCGUUUGGGAAAGGGUGCUGGGAUCAGUAUUAAUCUUUG